GGGGCAUAGCGCUUACCGAACCUUAUCAAACUCCGAAUGCCAGAUACUAUCAGCACGGCAGUCAGACUAUGAAAGAUAAGUUCCAUGGUCAAAAGGGAAACAGCCCAGAUCGUCAGCUAAGGUCCCAAAGUGUAAGUUAAGUGGAAAAGGAUGUGGGAUUUCUAAGACAACUAGGAUGUUGGCUUAGAAGCAGCCACUCAUUAAAAGAGUGCGUAAUAGCUCACUAGUCAAGAGAUCCUGCGCCGAAAAUGUCCGGGGCUCAAACUUACCACCGAAGCUACGGGUUCAUACUUUGUAUGAGCGGUAGAGGAGCGUCGUAAUCGGGCUGAAGUCGUACCGUAAGGAGCGGUGGACUGAUUACGAGUGAGAAUGUUGGCAUUAGUAGCGAGAUGUAGGUGAGAAUCCUACAGGCCGAAUAUCUAAGGUUUCCUGAGUAAAGUUUGUCUUCUCAGGGUUAGUCGGGACCUAAGGCGAGGCCGAGAGGCGUAGUCGAUGGACAAUUGGUUGAUAUUCCAAUACCACUAUAAUCGUUAUUAUCGAUGGUGUGACGGAGAAGGAUAGGAUGUGCCAGCUAUUGGAUGCUGGUCUAAGCGUUGAGGGAGUUAGAACAGGCAAAUCCGUUCUAACAAUCCUAGGGCGUGAUGGGGAAGGUUCUACGGAACCGAAGUAUCUGAUUUCAUGCUUCCAAGAAAAGCAUCUAGAAAGAGAAGUAGUGCCCGUACCGCAAACCGACACAGGUAGAUGAGGAGAGAAUCCUAAGGCCGACGGAAGAAUCACAGUUAAGGAACUAGGCAAAUUGACCCCGUAACUUCGGGAGAAGGGGUGCCUACCAAUUGGUAGGCCGCAGAGAAUAGGCACAAGCAACUGUUUAACAAAAACACAGGUCUCUGCUAAAGCGUAAGCUGAUGUAUAGGG
rnacentral:rRNA from 1 species